rnacentral:rRNA from 1 species
GGGGAAUAUUGCGCAAUGGGGGAAACCCUGACGCAGCAACGCCGCGUGAGUGAGGAAGGACUUCGGUCUGUAAAGCUCUGUUAAUGUGGAAAAAUGCUUGUUGGUCUAAUAGGCCGGCAAGUUGAUGGUACACAUAGAGGAAGCACCGGCUAACUUCGUGCCAGCAGCCGCGGUAAUACGAAGGGUGCAAGCGUUGUUCGGAUUUAUUGGGCGUAAAGCGCACGUAGGUGGACUUAUAAGUCAGAUGUGAAAUCUCGGGGCUCAACCUCGAAACUGCGUCUGAAACUGCAAGUCUAGAAUCUUGGAGGGGGCAGGGGAAUUUCACAUGUAGGGGUAAAAUCCGUAGAUAUGUGAAGGAACACCAGAGGCGAAGGCGCCUGCCUGGACAAGUAUUGACACUGAGGUGCGAAAGCGUGGGGAUCAAAC